GAGGCGGGACCAGCCGCCGCCGUCUCCGUCUCGGUGUCCCGGCCCCUACAGCGCCCGGCAGCCGCGGCGGGAGGAGCGGAAACUGUCGGGUGCGUCCCGUUCGGAGCCGCGCCGGCCGAGAAGGCGCCGAGGAGCAGCGAGGCGGCCUCCGUCCGGCCCGGACCCGCCGAGCGGCGUGCGCGCCCCCUCCCCGUAGCCUCGCGGCGCGGCCUCGCCCCGGCCCCUCCCGAGCUCAUCGCGGGCCCACGGAGCGGCCCCGGAGGCCCGAGCGCGCCCACCUGAGCCCCCGCGCUGGCGCCAUGGCGGAGCAGGAGAGCCUGGAAUUCGGCAAGGCAGACUUCGUGCUGAUGGACACCGUCUCCAUGCCCGAGUUCAUGGCCAACCUCAGGCUCAGAUUUGAAAAAGGGCGCAUCUAUACGUUCAUUGGAGAAGUCGUCGUUUCUGUGAACCCUUACAAGUUGUUGAACAUCUAUGGAAGAGACACAAUUGAGCAGUAUAAAGGCCGUGAGCUGUAUGAGAGACCACCUCACCUUUUUGCUAUUGCGGAUGCUGCUUACAAGGCUAUGAAGAGGCGAUCAAAAGACACUUGUAUUGUGAUAUCAGGGGAAAGUGGAGCUGGUAAAACGGAAGCCAGUAAGUACAUUAUGCAGUAUAUUGCGGCCAUCACCAACCCCAGUCAGAGAGCAGAGGUUGAAAGAGUGAAGAAUAUGUUGCUUAAGUCCAACUGUGUUUUGGAAGCUUUUGGAAAUGCCAAAACCAACCGUAAUGACAACUCAAGCAGGUUUGGAAAAUACAUGGAUAUCAACUUUGACUUCAAGGGUGACCCUAUUGGUGGGCAUAUCAAUAACUACUUACUAGAAAAGUCUCGAGUGAUUGUGCAACAGCCAGGAGAAAGAAGCUUUCAUUCUUUCUAUCAGCUACUCCAAGGAGGUUCAGAACAAAUGCUACGCUCUCUACAUCUCCAGAAAUCCCUUUCAUCCUACAACUAUAUUCAUGUGGGAGCUCAAUUAAAGUCUUCUAUCAAUGAUGCUGCCGAAUUCAGAGUUGUUGCUGAUGCCAUGAAAGUCAUUGGCUUCAAACCUGAGGAGAUCCAAACAGUGUAUAAGAUUUUGGCUGCUAUUCUGCACUUGGGAAAUUUAAAAUUUGUAGUAGAUGGUGACACGCCUCUUAUUGAGAAUGGCAAAGUAGUAUCUAUCAUAGCAGAAUUGCUCUCUACUAAGACAGAUAUGGUUGAGAAAGCCCUUCUUUACCGGACCGUGGCCACAGGCCGUGACAUCAUUGACAAGCAGCACACAGAACAAGAGGCCAGCUACGGCAGAGAUGCCUUUGCCAAGGCAAUAUAUGAGCGCCUUUUUUGUUGGAUCGUUACUCGCAUCAAUGAUAUUAUUGAGGUCAAGAACUAUGACACCACAAUCCAUGGGAAAAACACUGUUAUUGGUGUCUUGGAUAUCUAUGGCUUUGAAAUCUUUGACAACAACAGUUUUGAACAAUUCUGUAUCAAUUACUGCAAUGAGAAACUGCAGCAGCUAUUUAUUCAGCUGGUUCUGAAGCAAGAACAAGAGGAAUACCAGCGGGAAGGGAUCCCCUGGAAACACAUUGACUACUUCAACAAUCAGAUCAUUGUUGACCUCGUGGAGCAACAGCACAAAGGGAUCAUUGCAAUCCUUGAUGAUGCUUGCAUGAAUGUCGGCAAAGUCACCGAUGAAAUGUUUCUUGAAGCACUUAACAGUAAAUUGGGCAAACACGCCCAUUUUUCCAGCCGAAAGCUCUGUGCCUCAGACAAAAUUCUGGAGUUUGAUCGAGAUUUUCGAAUUCGACAUUAUGCAGGCGAUGUAGUCUAUUCUGUCAUUGGUUUUAUUGACAAAAAUAAAGAUACUUUAUUUCAAGAUUUCAAGCGCCUUAUGUAUAACAGUUCAAAUCCUGUGCUCAAGAAUAUGUGGCCUGAAGGCAAACUGAGCAUUACAGAGGUGACCAAGCGACCUCUGACUGCUGCUACCUUGUUUAAGAAUUCUAUGAUUGCUCUAGUAGACAACCUUGCAUCAAAGGAACCAUAUUACGUUCGUUGCAUCAAACCCAAUGACAAGAAAUCUCCACAGAUAUUUGAUGAUGAACGCUGCCGGCACCAAGUAGAAUAUCUUGGACUACUGGAAAAUGUGAGAGUGCGUCGGGCAGGAUUUGCCUUCCGCCAGACAUACGAGAAGUUUCUUCACAGGUAUAAGAUGAUCUCUGAGUUCACCUGGCCCAACCAUGACCUUCCUUCAGACAAAGAGGCUGUCAAGAAACUGAUUGAACGGUGUGGUUUUCAGGAUGAUGUAGCUUAUGGGAAGACCAAAAUUUUCAUUCGAACACCCCGAACAUUGUUUACCUUGGAAGAACUCCGUGCCCAGAUGCUCAUAAGGAUUGUCCUCUUUCUACAAAAGGUGUGGCGGGGCACCCUGGCCCGCAUGCGGUACAAAAGAACCAAGGCAGCUCUGACCAUAAUCAGGUACUACCGGCGCUACAAAGUGAAGUCGUACAUCCACGAGGUGGCCAGACGCUUCCAUGGCGUCAAGACCAUGCGAGACUACGGGAAGCACGUGAAGUGGCCAAGCCCUCCUAAAGUUCUUCGCCGUUUUGAGGAGGCCCUGCAGACGAUUUUCAAUAGAUGGAGAGCAUCCCAGCUCAUCAAGAGCAUUCCAGCCUCAGACCUGCCCCAGGUCAGGGCAAAGGUUGCAGCCAUGGAAAUGUUGAAGGGUCAAAGGGCUGACCUCGGGCUCCAGAGGGCCUGGGAGGGCAACUAUCUUGCUUCGAAGCCAGAUACACCUCAGACCUCAGGCACUUUUGUCCCUGUUGCUAAUGAAUUGAAACGGAAGGACAAAUACAUGAAUGUCCUCUUUUCCUGUCACGUCCGUAAGGUAAAUCGAUUUAGUAAGGUGGAAGACAGAGCAAUUUUUGUCACUGACCGUCACCUGUAUAAAAUGGAUCCCACUAAACAGUACAAGGUGAUGAAGACUAUCCCUCUAUACAAUUUGACUGGUCUGAGUGUCUCCAAUGGAAAGGACCAACUUGUAGUGUUCCAUACGAAAGACAACAAAGACCUCAUUGUCUGCCUCUUCAGUAAACAGCCAACCCAUGAGAGUCGAAUUGGAGAACUUGUUGGAGUGCUGGUGAAUCAUUUCAAGAGGUAAAGUUUGAUUUUUGUAAUUAAGACACGUUUUAAAUCUAUGAAAUCUUUAAUCGUAAUUAUCACUGAGCUUGUUUUGUGCCAAUUUUAAUGUAUUGAGCUAUUUUUCUCCAUAAGGACAACUUAAAUCAUCUGUUUCACAGAAGGUAAAAUUAGCAUCCCAGCUUACUUUCAAGAUUAGGAAUGAUCCUCUACUUUUCCAGCCUCCAGCUGAACCAACAAUGAGAGAUUUCCCUAAAUGGUGAUUUUUAUUCCACUGUCGAUCCAAAUGCAAUUAAAUCCAAAAGAUAGACAAAUUACUUUAUAUUCUUCUCGUCAUAGCUUCUCAUUUACCCCAAGUAUAAUCAGUUUGUGUGUCCACUAUGACCAUAAGCAAAUUAGAAGGCAGAUUUGGGAUGGUUUGCAAGUCCAUGAAGACUACAAGAAUUCCUGAGAGAGGCAGUGACCACUGCAGAAACAUGGAGUCAUGAUGGAACAUGGCAUAAUCUGAGAACUUCAUAGUAAGCCCUGAUGAUACCUGGGGCAGGGGGGUGAACAAUGAUAUAAUAAAUACAAACAGAGAGCAGGUCCUGGGAGUGAUGGGGACCAGUGAAUGGAUAAUUUUAAGCAGGGGAGUGAUUUUGUCUGGUUAUUUAUUGGAGUUGUUUCAGAGAUUGGAUUUCUGUUCCCAUAAGGGGUCAUGGAAUAUUUGGGUGGGUGUGUCUCUCCAAAGUCAAGUGCUCUCUUUGUGGCAUGCUGCCUUCACCUCCCUAACCCCACCUGAUGCUGGGAGAAGACCACUCAUCAAAAUCAGUGACUGAGAAAUGAUACAAGUGUAGUUUCUUUUUCUUCCUAAAAGACAUUUCCUGAGUUCCUAAAAUUAAUCAAGUAUUCCUUAUUAGUAUGUUUUUUUUUUUCAGUUUAGACGUGGCUUCUCUUUCUCUCAACAAACACAUAUUUGGAAUCAGAUGUCUGCAUAUCUAAUUCUAUUGUGUUCAUUUUGGCUGAUAAAUGUAUAGAGCAUAAUUUUAGAGGUGGGCUGCACAGACCAUUUAUUUUAUGUUGUUACACCUUACAUUCUAGAUCAAAGUAGAUCUUUAAAUAUUUUCUAUCAUUAAAUGCUUUUAGAUGCUGUAAGUAAAAUAAUUCUUAAUGGUCAUUUGUGGGGAAAAAAAAGUAAUUACCAAAAAUAAUAAUAAAUGCAUAGACUUUUGGAAAUUCCUUUCCAUCUGCCAAAUAAUGUAAAGCUAAGAAAAAUUUUAAAAAGUUUAGAAUGUGGCCAGGCGCAGUGGCUCACGCCUGUAAUCCCAGCACUUUGGGAGGCUGAGGCGGGCGGAUCACGAGGUCAGCAGAUCGAGACCAUCCUGGGUAACACAGUGAAACCCCGUCUCUACUAAAAAUACAAAAAAUUAGCUGGGCUUGGUGGCGGGCACCUGUAGUCCCAGCUACUCAGGAGGCUGAGGCAGGAGAGUGGCGUGAACCCGGGAGGCGGAGCUUGCCGUGAGCCAAGAUCCCGCCACUGCACUCCAACCUGGGCGACAGAAAGAGACUCUGUCUCAAAAAAAAAAAAAAGUUUAGAAUGUAAGGAAAAGACAUAAAGAAGGCAUCUCUGCAAUAAAUGUCUAUAACUCAAAUAAGCAAGCUUAUUUUCCUGCUAAUAUUUAUAGCAAAGUAUAGAAAAUUAAAGGAAUUUUAAUUUGUUACUCUUAAUUUGGAUACCAGUACUAAUGAAUGCAAGAGUUUUUGCCUGGGAAGUUGAAGUAUUUUAUCUUUAUCUGGGUGCUUAUUUAGCAAAUUCUGAUCUAUUAAGUGCCUUCUACAAGUGACAGAAAUACGUGAAUCUGGAUGUAGAUUUCAUCAGUUGCUUUCUUUUCCUAACUAGCAUAUGCAUGCUGAGGUACAUUUCUAGGCAUAUGUCCUCUAUCUUUAAUGUAUGUAAGGAUUUUUAAUUUCUUUAAAAUUUAUAAAUGUGAAGAGAAGACUAUCAAGAUGCUAGGAUUUUUUUGGUGGAUUUUUUUUUUUUUAAUUCUUGGUGUUUCUGUCUUAUGAAUUAAGAGUGAAGUGGAAAUGAGAGAUAAAAUCUUUCCUCCCAGACCCCAGAAAAGUCAGGCUUGAAAUUUUGACUUAGAGUUUUAGUCAUCAACUUACUAUUUACUUUUUGGGAAAAGGUUAAUUUGAUUUUUUCUAGCUAUUUUCCUUUAUUGUCAACUAUCGUAUCAUUGCCAUGACAUUGAAAUUCACAUUGUAUUUUAUAAGCAUGAUGUUGUGGCACAUAAUCUUAUUUGUCCCUGAGUUAAUUAUGGAAAUCCAAAGGUUCGGGAGGGAAUUAACUUCAGACCAAUUCUUUAUCUUCCAGAUAAUUUCCCUAAAGUACAUUCUGAGAUGUGUUCUUGUCAGCAGUUGGGAGGAAAGGGCUCAAAACUUCCCAAGGCUGAGGCAAGAACCAGCUAAGAGGACCAGAGGGAACAGUGCCCAGCCUCACAAAGAGCCAGGAGUAGUUUCUGAUCUAACAAGGCAGACUAAAGAACUUCGUCAUUCACAGGAAACCAUCUGCUUAUACUCUGAAUAAAAUUCAAGAAAGCAUAGAUUCUACAUAAACAGGCCCAAGAUUACAUGGCAAACUGAGAUGAAGAGGAUGCUGGCUGAGAAACAAACAAAAGUGUUCAAUUAUUUGAAUGAAGUAAGGAAAGAUAUUUUAAAAUGUAAAUCAACAUUAAAAUCUGAAAAUGGCACAGUUGAUAUUGCAGAAAAUAGAAUUGAUGUGAAAGGAAA